UACGUAGGGGGCAAGCGUUGUCCGGAUUUAUUGGGCGUAAAGCGCUCGCAGGCGGCUCGAUGCGUCGUGCGUGAAACACCCCGGCUCAACUGGGGAGGGUCGUGCGAUACGGUCGGGCUGGAGGCCAGUAGGGGGAUGCGGAAUUCCGGGUGUAGUGGUGGAAUGCGUAGAGAUCCGGAGGAACACCAGCGGCGAAGGCGGCUGCCUGGACCGGCCCUGACGCUGAGGCGCGAAAGCUAGGGGAGCAAACAGG
rnacentral:rRNA from 1 species